rnacentral:rRNA from 1 species
UACCAGCACCCCGAGUGGUCGGGACGAUUAUUGGGCCUAAAGCAUCCGUAGCCGGUUCUACAAGUCUUCCGUUAAAUCCACCUGCUUAACAGAUGGGCUGCGGAGGAUACUAUAGAGCUAGGAGGCGGGAGAGGCAAGCGGUACUUAGUGGGUAGGGGUAAAAUCCGUUGAUCCAUUGAAGACCACCAGUGGCGAAGGCGGCUUGCCAGAACGCGCUCGACGGGUGAGGGAUGAAAGCUGGGGGGAGCAAACCGGG